UACGUAGGGUGCAAGCGUUAAUCGGAAUUACUGGGCGUAAAGCGUGCGCAGGCGGUUAUGUAAGACAGAUGUGAAAUCCCCGGGCUCAACCUGGGAAUUGCAUUUGUGACUGCACGGCUAGAGUGUGUCAGAGGGGGGGUAGAAUUCCACGUGUAGCAGUGAAAUGCGUAGAUAUGUGGAGGAAUACCGAUGGCGAAGGCAGCCCCCUGGGAUAACACUGACGCUCAUGCACGAAAGCGUGGGGAGCAAACAGG
rnacentral:rRNA from 1 species